rnacentral:rRNA from 1 species
CAGUAGCCACGGUAAUACGUAGGUGGCCAGCGUUGUCCGGAAUUAUUUGGCGUAAAGGGCUCGCAGGCGGUUUCUUAAGUCUGAUGUGAAAGCCCCCGGCUCAACCGGGGAGGGUCAUUGGAAACUGGGAAACUUGAGUGCAGAAGAGGAGAGUGGAAUUCCACGUGUAGCGGUGAAAUGCGUAGAGAUGUGGAGGAACACCAGUGGCGAAGGCGACUCUCUGGUCUGUAACUGACGCUGAGGAGCGAAAGCGUGGGGGGCGAACAGGAUUAGAUACCCCUGUAGUCCCUGUCUCUUAUAC